rnacentral:lncRNA from 1 species
GUCAGAAGUUGUCUCUGCCCCAUCACCAGUGUAAUGGUAACCUCAAGACUUUCACAGCUAUAAAAGACAGCAAAUGAAAAGUUAUAUUUACCUGAGCAAUAUGAACUCUAAUCACUUGCUUGAAUUCCUUGAUGCUAUUUUUUUGUAUUCUAUAACCAUAGUUCUUUCAAUCUGGUUAUUUUCCUGAAGGAGUUAGGUCCUAUAAGGUGCUGGUUUUGGGGCGUGGAAAGGAAGGUAUUUAGCUCCUCUUGGGAACACAGAAAUUCAGUCCCCUGCUGUGAAUCCCAGUCAAGAAUGUUUGUGUAGAUAGGAGUAACUUAUUUAAUGGUGGAAGAAUAAAAAGUGUAGCUGAAUUUAGGAGAUGGGUGCCCACAUAGGCAUCUGCUACACCAAUAGUUUUUGAAUGAGUGUAAUUGUCAAUGCUACCUUAAAAGAGUGUUUUCUUUGCUAUCUAUGACUGUCCAACUAAACCUUCCCAAAUACUCUGGGAUCCUACAAGUUUCUGUGUGAGAUCCAAGUUUCAUAUUGAAGAUGAUGGAGUACCUCAAUUCUUCUUUCAAUCUGAUUAUUUUCCCAAAGACGUGGUCCUAUAACGUGCUGAUUCGGGGGGGGGGGGGGGGAGGGGGAUAAGUGAAGGUACUUACCUCCUCUGUUUCAUUUUUGUGAAUGAGUUUGAUUUCCCGAUUCCCUUUCCCCACUGUGAAAGUAUUUAUGCAUUUUGUGUCCUUCCAGAACAGAAGUGCCUCUCCAGCAGAAAUGCUGACUAACAUUGCUGUGCUGAAGACAGCCUGAGUCAGUGACAAUUUUACCAACCCUCUGAGAUGCAUAACUCAAGGAGGACCACAGCCUCCUUCCUCAUGUGAAUUAGAAUAACCAGCAGCAAAAAUGACAUCACACCAGGGAAAUUAGAUAGCCAGAUGCAUGUCUCACAGAAAUCUGAUUUUCUAUCCAAGGAAUUGUUUAUCUAUCAUGGAAGCCAAUCUAUCCGUAAGCCUCACUUGUAUACGUAAAGCCAAGAAGUAUAGAGUAAAAGCUCAAGAAAGUGAAAUGAGUGUAUUGCCCAAUGCUUUUUCAUUCUGUCCUAUAUAUCAUUAUUACCCAUCUCUGCAAGAAGGAAGGAAGGAGCCGCUACUCUAGAAUUCAGGCAGCCCACCCACCUUCUCUCCUAAUGCAUCUUCUUUGGCUGCCAUCAGAUGAGAGGAAGAUGAAGUGGCUCCUGACAAAAUAGAAAACUAGUACAACAGAAAUGGGGAUAAACUCCUGUUGAUCUGAUGACGAACUCCUUAAACAAUGAUCCAGAAGCAUCUUUGGCACAAUAACUCAGUCCUUGACCAACUUAGUAGUCCAUCACUCCUGAACUCCAGACAACAUCUGGCCAGAUAACAAAAAUCCCCAAAGACUACAAACUUAUGGCUAGAAGAUAUUUGAAACUAAAGAAAGAAAAUAACUAGCCAGCAUAAAUCCCAAGCCAUGGAAAGAAAACUGGGUCUCUCAGUUGAUAGGCCAGUGGAAAGAAGGGAACUCAAGACUGUCUGUGGUACAGAAAUUUUGUACCUUCUUAAAUGUCGAACUGAGCACCAAAAAUAGUGCCUGACAAUUUUGUCCCAUCCCAACGUUUUCAGGCAAACAAAAAAUCUAUGGAAAAGCGUGUUGAUGACAUUGUAAGACAGUUUCAAUGGCAGAGUGAAUGCUGCUUUCACAGUAAAUCUGCCUUGCCCAAGUGUUUGGCUGGAGGACCAUAUCAUUUUUCUGGAGCAAGGAUCAAGCCAGGGUUUAAUGAUUACCCUCAAAACACAGAGAUAAAAGUUGUCAGUUAAUGGACUCCAAAUAGCUGCAGUGAUGGCCAGUCUCUCCUGGAAGGACACUGAACUCCCUCAAAAUAAAGACUAUGUUUCUUCUAACUCUUCA